AUGUGUGUACCAAAGAAGAAAGGGGGUUUAGGAUUUAGAGACCUUCACAGUUUUAACCUUGCUCUACUAGCAAAACAGUGUUGGCGACUAAUCCAAAACCCGGACUCUCUCUGUGCACAUGUACUAAGCGCAAAGUAUUAUCCAGAGGGGAAUAUUCUGAAGGCGGGCCCAAAGAAAGGCUCGUCGUUCACCUGGCAGAGUAUUGUUGCAGGGAUUUAAACCUUCAAAAGGGGAUGCAUAUGGCGUGUGGGAACAGGAGCGCAAAUAGAUAUAUGGCAGGAUCCUUGGAUCCCAUCCAGCCCCUCAAGAAAAGUGAUUACACCCCAAGGAAUGAUCAUGCUAAGGAAUGUGGAGGAACUGAUAGACCCACACAACGGACAAUGGGACGAGGCCCUAAUCAGAGAUGUAUUCUCUCCCGUUGAUGCAUAUAGGAUCCUACAAAUACCUCUUAAUGUUCAGGUCAUGGAGGACUUUCUAGCAUGGAAUUACAUGAGAUCAGGGACCUUUUCGGUCCGGUCAGCUUAUCACAGAGAGUUUGAACACCUGUAUGGGCAUCGCCUUGCAAGAUCUGAUGGACAAGGGAACACUCGGGAGGAUACAAUAUGGCAAGAAGUGUGGAAUCUUAAAAUCCCUGGUAAGAUAAAAUAUUUUGCUUGGAAGGCACUGAAUGGAUCACUACCCUGCUAUGGAAUUCUGGCCAACAGACAUAUCCCACUAAUCCCACAAUGCCCGUUCUGCUCAGUGGGGUUGGAAGACAUCCAACACUGCCUGUUUACAUGCAGGAGAGUGCAAGAAAUAUGGACAACAUUGGGGGUUCAUAACACUAUACCGGAGGUUGUUAGGCAGGACCGAUCAGGAUCAAUUACUCUACAAAUUCUAGCUCGGGUACAAGGCGUAUGUGAGGGACUGCCCACGGCUGAGUUAAUUCUUGUGGCAUCCUGGUAUCUCUGGUGGCAGAGGCGUCAAUAUGUGAGAGAAGAAGAGAUCCAAACAGCUGAUAAAUCAGCUAUAUCAAUCAGAGCUCUGGCCACUAAUUUCCUCCGCGUGUACUCAAGAAAAAUUGUGGAGAGGAAGCAUGAUCAUAUGUGGAAACACCCGACUAGUGAUGUAACAAAAGUGAAUGUGGACGCAUCUUUCCUUCCUGACACUCUUCAGGAGCAACAGGAGCUAUUGCUCGGGACAGCCGAGGGAACUUCAUAG
rnacentral:rRNA from 1 species